AUUUUUCCAACUUUCACUCGGGAGUGUAUUUCUGGCUCACAUUACCUUCUUCAUGGAGGUGGAGCUGCAACAAGCCACCGAGGUUGCAGCAGCUGUACUUGGUGCCUGUACAUCAUGUUCAGGGAGGAGGAGCUGGAGCAAG